rnacentral:piRNA from 1 species
UGCCAGUGUAUCAGUCCCUUCGGGUG